rnacentral:lncRNA from 1 species
AUGAUUUUAUUAGGCCUAUUGAUAUUUUUCUUUUGAGGCAUGUUAACCAGGCUAUGAUGAGCUUAUCAAUGCUUCCAGGGGUUCUAUAAACAGGCGCUGUCCUUUUGGCCAAAAAGUUUAUAGGCGGUGUCCUUAACCUUCCAAAAUCUUGCAUGUUUUGUCCUUUAGGCCAAACCUGGUUAGAAAUCUCAGUUAAUUCUUGUCAAGUGUAAUGCAUAUGAGGGUACAAUGGUCAUUUUCCCUCUCAACCCUUUCUAUUUCCCCCAUUUAUAACC